UACGGAGGGUGCAAGCGUUAUCCGGAUUCACUGGGCUUAAAGGGUGCGUAGGUGGGUCUGUAAGUCCGUGGUGAAAUCUCCGAGCUUAACUUGGAAACUGCCAUGGAUACUAUAGGUCUUGAAUACUGUGGAGGUCAGCGGAAUAUGUCAUGUAGCGGUGAAAUGCUUAGAUAUGACAUAGAACACCAAUUGCGAAGGCAGCUGGCUACACAAAUAUUGACACUGAUGCACGAAAGCGUGGGGAUCAAACAGG
rnacentral:rRNA from 1 species